GAUGAACGCUGGCGGCGUGCCUAAUACAUGCAAGUCGAGCGAACAGACGAGGAGCUUGCUCCUUUGAUGUUAGCGGCGGACGGGUGAGUAACACGUAGGUAACCUACCUAUAAGACUGGGAUAACUUCGGGAAACCGGAGCUAAUACCGGAUAAUAUUUCGAACCGCAUGGUUCGAUAGUGAAAGAUGGCUUUGCUAUCACUUAUAGAUGGACCUGCGCCGUAUUAGCUAGUUGGUAAGGUAACGGCUUACCAAGGCAACGAUACGUAGCCGACCUGAGAGGGUAAUCGGCCACACUGGAACUGAGACACGGUCCAGACUCCUACGGGAGGCAGCAGUAGGGAAUCUUCAGCAGUGCGCGAAAGCCUGACGGAACAACGCCGCGUGAGUGAUGAAGGUCUUCGGAUCGUAAAACUCUGUUAUUAGGGAAGAACAAACGUGUAAGUAACUGUGCACGUCUUGACGGUACCUAAUCAGAAAGCCACGGCUAACUACGUG
rnacentral:rRNA from 1 species